GGGCCUGUUUGCGUGGGCACCGAAAUGGCGUAUUGUUUGACCUGAUGCUCCAUUAAAUUCGUUCUACACACUGAUUGUAAUGACGGUUCGACAUUAUCCAUUUAAUAGCUUGUAAAAUUACUGGUUAAUUAAUUUUCCAAUUGAAAAUACGUAAGACUGUCCAGUUUGCUCAUCUCACAAUCGCUGUAAACGAUGACAAAAUAUUUCGUCCUAUUUUUUGCAUUUUUCCUAGCCGAGUUUCAAACAAUUAUUAGCGAGUGUCCCGUUUGUGACGCAAAUGAUUACAAUCCGGUUUGUUCUUCAGGAAAGGCGUUCAAAAGCGAAUGCCAUCUUUUGUCACUGCAUUGUUCAAAACAUGUGGUUCUGACAAGCCCCCUCUUUGGAAAAUGUCUCCAGUUACAUAACCCGAAACCAAACGUCCCAAGCCUCCACUUUUGAGGCCAAUAAAUAAAUGAUUAAAGCUAACGUUUUAUUAAUUCCAAUUACAACAAAUAUAUUUUCAUGAUAAUUA